GUCACGGGUUGUCGCCAUGCUCCCCUCCUCUGCACGUCAUCGCCUGAAGGUCACCGUUGCCGCCGCCGAUUUACUCCCCAUUCCCCUCCACCAACGAUGUCCAAUGUGUCCGUCUCCAGGGAUCCAACUAUGGAUGUCGCUUUGUUUCCUUCCUUUUCUGAUCAUCUCGUCCACAACGCAGCGGUGGCCGCGGUGCGGACAAUCGGUGGAAAGUAGGUAGGGAAGGCCCGACAGUGGUGCCACGCGGGAUGAAGCAACGGCGGCACAGGAGCUUCCCGGCACAGGCUUUGCACUACAGAGCAGUUGGUGGUAGGAAGGGCAGAGGACGCGAAGAACUCAUGGUUAGUUACGGCAACAGGAGGAGGAGGAAGCACUUCUCUGACAAGAUCCAUAGCUCCCCACCUUUGUAUUUCCAAUGUAUAUAUCUCAGAUCGGCGUGUCACGGGAGCGGAUACGGCGGCAGACACAAGGAGAGCAAAGCGAAGCCGGCGCGACGGCCAGGCCCUCCAAGCACACAGCCACUGCCUCCUUGCCAAGAUACGCUAGCCUGCAUCUACAAGGAAAAAAAAGGAACUUGCCUGUAUGGUGUUCACUAAAAAGAAGAAUCUGCUAAAAGAUUGGAUGUGGGCUGUACGUGGACAUGAACUUGUUCCUGGGAUUCAGAAGGGAGGACGUGCCAUGGAACUUCGAGAAGACGGAUAACCAUGUGUACCUCCAUGUCGUGCUUUGGUAGAAGCCAGAUGCCGACGAGUCAGAAC